rnacentral:lncRNA from 1 species
UUUAUUUCUCGUUUUCUCGUGUUUGAUUCGAUGUGCGUGCUUCGUAUUUCCCCUUAUUUAUUUUCCGUGUUUCGUGUCGGUGGUCUUAAUUUCUCGUUCUUGCAUUGUUCCGCAUUUGAUUAAAAAGUGAAUUGGAAGUAACUCCACGUCUUUACUCCACCGUUUCGAAGUUGGAAAUAAAGAAUAAAUCAAUAUAAUUGUAU